CUGAUAACACUAUCAGGCCACAAGAGGGCGAUGUGAAGCCAUACAGUGUAUGGCUUAACAUCGCCCUCUUGUGGCCUGAUGGUGUUACUG